rnacentral:lncRNA from 1 species
CUCAAACAGCUCUGCUGAAAGAUAUUUUCCUCCUCAUUUUAUAUUAAAGCAUAGCCCUGAAAGUUGUGAUUGCAAAGAAUACUCUCCCAGCAUCCCUUCCCCCUGAUAUCAUGGUAUCAUUCCCCAAAUUCCCUAUGCAUAAAGGAAGUUUUCCAUCCCUUUGUAGGACCUGAAAAGAAGAAGGAUGAAGUUAAUGGGCUGGAAAGGAAGCGGAUGGACCAUGCAAGGAAGCUGCAGAUGUGAACAUAAGCUGCAGAAACAGUCCUGGAGCUCUGGAGAUACAGGAGUUUUUAAUGCAGCCUGUUACUGUGCCCUCACUGGUGAUGGUGCCCUGCAUCAGGCUGGAAAGGCCAAAUUUGUUUCAGAGACAGCCCAGUGAUAAAUUAAGGGUGGCAUGAAGACUGGAGUGCUUCCAUGCUGACUUAGUCAGGAGGAUCCUGGUUUCCCAAGGUGCCUUGCCUCUCCUCAACUGUGCAGUGGUGAAUCCUAGGAAAAGCCAGGACUGUGCCAUGUCAGAGAUAGCGCUGAUGGUCAUUUAACAUCAGACACAAACUUCUGAUGGACCAGCCCUGGUAGUCUAAACCUGACUGUGCAUAUGGACACAAAUAGAGUCAUACUCCUUCAAUAAAUUAGUCUUAUCUCCAAAGUAACCA